GAUAAUAUCAGGACUUCGGAGAGCGGAGAGAAGGGUGAGAGCUGGACGCGACGUUUUGCUGGUUGGAGUGCUUCUGAACCCCGCCCAUGCCUUUCGCAAGAAAGGAAGGGAUUUUUCAAUUCAUCGGCCUCAGAUUGGUAGGACUACCCGCUGAACUUAAGCAUAUCAAUAAGCGGAGGAAAAGAAACUAACAAGGAUUCCCCUAGUAACGGCGAGUGAAGAGGGAAGAGCCCAAGAUUGAAAGCUGGCGUCUUCGGCGUCCGCAUUGUAAUCUCAAGAAGUGUUUUCCGCUUCGGACCAUGCCUAAGUCCCUUGGAAAAGGGCAUCAUAGAGGGUGAUAAUCCCGUACAUGGCAUGGAGCGCCCGAAGCUUUGUGAUACGCUUUCUAAGAGUCGAGUUGUUUGGGAAUGCAGCUCAAAAUGGGUGGUAAAUGCCAUCUAAGGCUAAAUAUUGGGGAGAGACCGAUAGCGAACAAGUACAGUGAUGGAAAGAUGAAAAGAACUUUGAAAAGAGAGUUAAACAGUACGUGAAAUUGCCAAAAGGGAAGGGUAGGAGGUCAGAGAUGCGGCCUGGGAUUCAGCCUUGCUUUUGCUUGGUGUUUUUCCCAGAUUGCAGGCCAACGUCGGUUUUGGGCACUGGAGAAGGGUAGGAGGAACGUGGCACCUCUCGGGGUGUGUUAUAGCCUCCUACUGGAUACAGCGACCGAGACCGAGGACAGCAGCGUACUCGCAAGAGCGGGCCUUCGGGCA
rnacentral:rRNA from 1 species